GGCUGGUGGUGUCUGAGCCCUAGACAGUUGUCGGCCGCUGAUUGAACCCGGGCCGGCCGCAGGAAGCGGCUACAGCAGCGACGGAAGCGGUGUGGGCCACCAUAUUGGCCCAUCUGCUGAACCUCCACCUGACCAGAGCCCGCCGUGCGUAGGCUGACAGGAGACGUGCGGGGUGGACGGACUGCGGGACAUCCGGAGGAAGGGCUCAAGGCGCGCCAAUCUCAAAGCUGGGCCGCCACUCUAGACCGUGGAGGGCAGCGCCCGGGCCGGAUCAUCGGUCGAGGAUAUGGGGUCGCCUCAGCGUGGGAAGCUCCACAUGGUCCAGAACUGCAGGAGGAAGAAAGCAUCUACUGCAUAAAGGAAAGAAAGGAAAACUCAUAGAAAUGGAAAUGUA